rnacentral:rRNA from 1 species
GAUGAACGCUAGCUACAGGCUUAACACAUGCAAGUCGCGGGGCAGCAUGGGGGUUGCUUGCCAUCCCUGAUGGCGACCGGCGCACGGGUGAGUAACGCGUAUCCAACCUGCCCUUCACCACGGGAUAACCCGGCGAAAGUCGGACUAAUACCGUAUGUUGUCCAUUGACGGCAUCCGAUUUGGACGAAAGGCUUAGCGGUGAGGGAUGGGGAUGCGUCCGAUUAGCUUGACGGCGGGGUAACGGCCCACCGUGGCUACGAUCGGUAGGGGUUCUGAGAGGAAGGUCCCCCACACUGGAACUGAGACACGGUCCAGACUCCUACGGGAGGCAGCAGUGAGGAAUAUUGGUCAAUGGGCGUAAGCCUGAACCAGCCAAGUAGCGUGCAGGAUGACGGCCCUAUGGGUUGUAAACUGCUUUUAGGCGGGGAUAAAGGGACCCACGUGUGGGUUUUUGCAGGUACCGCAUGAAUAAGGACCGGCUAAUUCCGUG